rnacentral:lncRNA from 1 species
UUCCCGCAACAUCACUGAGGAAGGACAUCACUCCUAUCAAGCCAUUCACAGAUCCUCUGCUAACCUUUGUCUCUACCCUGGCAAUAGAGGAGUUCAGUCUCUUUCGUACACACAGUUACCCCGGCUCUCAGGCUCGUCUUCUAUGAAAUAAACAAGACAACACCUCCAUUUGUUGAAUUCUACACAGAAAUCGUGAUGGAAGCAAACAUUAAGUGAAGAAGACUCAAACUGAAGAGUUUUACGAACCUUACACAACGAGCUAUGAGGUCGUCCUCGGCACUAGCCAACCAUUGCUCGAGGAUUACUUCACUUACGCCCUUAGACACCUCUUCAGAAAAGUACCGGUUUUACGAACGUGUUACGGGGAGCGAAACGGCGAAAGGUGGCUCAGGGAGAUGUCUCACGAAAAAACCGACUUCCAGGUGAUUGAAAAUGUUACAAAAGAAGAUGUACAACAAAGAACUGCAUCGGUACAGCUUUGACAAGAAGAACGGUUCUCUGUGGUGAGUCAAACUAUUACGAGGAAGUGUGGGUGACAGCGUGCAAGAGUAUCCUCACGUGUACACUGUUUAUUGGAAUCCAUCACGUUAUCACCGAUGGCUUCCUCGUCCAAGUCCUCCGACUUAGUGAUGAACAACUUGCAGUCUUCGUGUCACCUGAGAAGACAGAUGCGAUAAUAAAUGAGAAAGUGGAAGCAUUGCGGGCUAACUCCGAACUUCUACUCCGUCAAAUAAAGAGUUUCAAGCUUGGCAGCAGAAGUCGCUCUUCAAAUCGACCUACAAGAUAAAUGAAGACACGACACUUACAACGAGCUUCGAAACCAUAGAUUUUGACUAUGACACCACAGCCUCUUUCCUUAAGCGGUGUCGUGCUGAAGGCGUUACUGUCAACUCAGCUUAUACGGCCAUCGCUAACCUAGCUAUGAGGGAUCUCCUAAUAGAUGGAGGCCUUGGGAAGGACACGUACAAUAUCCGCAGCGACCACGCCUUCAAUGCUCGUAGGUACUGGGGAGAAGACUCUGGUGGUGAAUACCUGGGGUGUCACGUGAUGCCACUCGUGCCUGUGACGGUCAAAACGCCCAGAAACGCCCGCGAAAAUAUCUGGAACUACGUAAGACUAACGAAUCGUGAACUCAGAAGAUUACGACAGAUGCUGCAUUAAAAGAAGAAGCAAUUAAGAAAUGCGUACCCGAGUACUCUGGUGUUUUUGAAUUUGAUUAUACUGUCUCCAACAUGGGAGACGUAACACAUUUGGUAAUGAAAGGUAGUCAAAAUGUACAGCCGAUUCAUAUCUUUAGUUCCGCCGCUAUACACAAUGUCCCUGCUACUUUCUGCCAUUUCGUCUAUACUUUUCGUAGUCGUCUUGCCGUCAACAUUUUGUACAGCACAGAACGCAUUAAACCAGAGACAGCAAAACAGUGUGGUCAGUGGAUAUUCAAAUAUCUGCAUGCAUCACUUUGUGAGUCUGAAUGAAAGUGACUGAAGAAUCUACGAAGGUAUUCUUUAAGGCAGAGGGAUGUUUUGCCGGACUGGGGUUAUGGUGAAUGCUAAAAGAAAGUAUGAGACGUUCCUGUUCUUCAGGAGUGUUUUCGGGAAGACUUGUGAUUAAAGCAGAGAGUGGGGACAGUUAAUGUUGUUUCCGUAAUAUACAUAUUCAGUGACUAAAGUGACUUCUUGUGAAUAAGUGAGGACAUGGCCCAUGGUUAUACUGUACAAGCAGGUUUAAAUUCACUGGGCACUUACCCACACAACUCAUAAUUUUACCAUGUUUGCAAAUACUUGUAAGCUCUGUGUGUAAGUUCCUUUGUGAAAUAUUUUGUGAAUUAUUUUGUUAUUAACCUUUCCAAAAUACUAUAAUUAUAUUACCUUUUUAAUAUACCUCA